rnacentral:rRNA from 1 species
GAUGAACGCUAGCGGCAGGCUUAAUACAUGCAAGUCGAGGGGCAGCGCAGCGUAGCAAUACAUGGGCGGCGACCGGCAAACGGGUGCGGAACACGUACGCAAUCUACCCAAAACUGAUGAAUAGCCCUCCGAAAGGAGGAUUAAUACAUCGUAACCUAUUGAAGUGGCAUCACUUUAUUAGUAUAGCUCCGGCGGCUUUGGAUGAGCGUGCGGCUGAUUAGGUAGUUGGCAGGGUAACGGCCUACCAAGCCUACGAUCAGUAACUGGUGUGAGAGCACGACCAGUCACACGGGCACUGAGAUACGGGCCAGACUCCUACGGGAGGCAGCAGUAGGGAAUAUUGGUCAAUGGAUGCAAGUCUGAACCAGCCAUGCCGCGUGCAGUAAGAAGGCCUUCUGGUUGUAAACUGCUUUUGUCAGGGGAUAAAAAGCUCGUGCGCGAGCAAUUGCAGGUACCUGAUGAAUAAGCCACGGCUAACUACGUGCCAGCAGCCGCGGUAAUAC